rnacentral:rRNA from 1 species
UACGGAGGGGGCUAGCGUUGUUCGGAAUUACUGGGCGUAAAGCGCGCGUAGGCGGCUUUGUAAGUUAGAGGUGAAAGCCCGGAGCUCAACUCCGGAAUUGCCUUUAAGACUGCAUCGCUAGAAUCAUGGAGAGGUGAGUGGAAUUCCGAGUGUAGAGGUGAAAUUCGUAGAUAUUCGGAAGAACACCAGUGGCGAAGGCGACUCACUGGACAUGUAUUGACGCUGAGGUGCGAAAGCGUGUGGAGCAAACAGG